UACAGAGGGGGCAAGCGUUGUUCGGAAUUACUGGGCGUAAAGGGCGCGUAGGCGGCCUGUUAAGUCGAACGUGAAAUCCCCGGGCUCAACCCGGGAACUGCGUCCGAAACUGGCAGGCUUGAAUCCGGGAGAGGGAUGUGGAAUUCCAGGUGUAGCGGUGAAAUGCGUAGAUAUCUGGAGGAACAUCGGUGGCGAAGGCGACAUCCUGGACCGGUAUUGACGCUGAGGCGCGAAAGCCAGGGGAGCAAACGGG
rnacentral:rRNA from 1 species